UACGAAGGGGGCUAGCGUUGCUCGGAAUCACUGGGCGUAAAGCGCACGUAGGCGGCUUGUUAAGUCAGGGGUGAAAUCCUGGAGCUCAACUCCAGAAUUGCCUUUGAUACUGGCGAGCUUGAGUUCGGGAGAGGUGAGUGGAACUGCGAGUGUAGAGGUGAAAUUCGUAGAUAUUCGCAAGAACACCAGUGGCGAAGGCGGCUCACUGGCCCGGUACUGACGCUGAGGUGCGAAAGCGUGGGGAGCAAACAGG
rnacentral:rRNA from 1 species